rnacentral:rRNA from 1 species
ACCUGGCUCACACCGGUUUAAACUCAGAUCAUGUAAAAUUUUCAAGGUCGAACAGACCUAAUCCGUUAGUCUCUUCACCAACAAUUAAUUUUAAUCCAACAUCGAGGUCGCAAUCUUUCAUUUCGAUAAGAACUCUAAAAAAAAUUACGCUGUUAUCCCUAAGGUAAUUUAAUCUUAUAAUCUUAAUUCUAGGAUCAAAUAUUCAUAAAUAAAUGGCUAUUUACAAAAAAAGUUCAUUAAAUUUUUCUAUCACCCCAACAAAAUAUUUUUUCAGCCAAAAUAAUUACAUAAAUCCUCAAUUUAAAUAAACUUUUAAAUAUAAAACUCUAUAGGGUCUUCUCGUCUUCUAUAUAUAUUUAAGCUUUUUUACUUAAAAAUAAAAUUCUAAUAAAUUUUUACAGAGACAGAAAUCUUUUCAUCAAACCUUUCAUUCCAGCUUUCAAUUAAAAAACUAAUGAUUAUGCUACCUUUGCACGGUUAGUAUACCGCGGCCAUUUAAACCUAUCAUUGGGCAGGUCAGACUUAAAAUUAUCAUCAAUAAGCC